rnacentral:lncRNA from 1 species
AGUGGGAGUCUACGCAAAUAUGUAAUUUUUAUACUUCCUCAAAACAUAAUCAUUUUUUCACGUGUGUCCAGAUAAAAUCUCACCAAAUCAAGCUCUCAAUCAUUCGAUAACCCUACACUCUAAAAUUUAUUUUAAAAAAUAAGAAACUGAUGAUAAUAUAAACACUAUAGCUGCUCAAAAUUAAGAUAAUUUAAAAUGGAUCUUAACUUAUACUAACUUAUUUUAUUUAUUUAUUAGCAUAAGCGAAUUUAAUGUACAAGUGGAUAGGACAGACUUAGCCUCAACACUUUUAAUAUCAAAAUUAUCACCAACAUCAUAUACGUAAUGGUAAAUUGUGUUCAAUUAUUAAACCAAAGGUUCCAUGAUAUGGAAAUCUAGCAUGGUCUUCGUAUAUUCGUUCCCAAAUUUUAUGUGAACAACUCUGGACACCAUCAUUUGUGGGGGACUUUGAUUGCAAUCAGUGAUAUUUUAUCUAUUGGUACAAAAAGGGUUUGGUUUUGGAUUCUCAAUUAUCUGAAAGCAUUUGUUCAUCCUCUUCCUCGAUCCACUCGAUGACUGUCUCAAAAAAAACACAAUUCUGCAGUUAUUUAUCAGUAGAAAGCUACGUUACUCAAGUAUCAACCCCCUACUGCAUAUUGUUCACAAUAGCUCUUUAUCAGUGCCUUCCCCCCUUGCAGAGCUUGUAGUAACAAUUAAAGAGAAACACUUGUCAGAUUUGCAUACUUUUGUUCGUGGAAGAUGGGCACAAAAUGUGUAGUCAGAUUUUUUUUAGAGUGUUCCUUUUCAAUCUAAAACUUAGGUUUUUUCUGAUAGUAAGAAUUACAGGUGUUGUAGUUUGUAUACUAUUCAAAAUUAACUGGUCAAAUUUUCUAAAUUUUGUUUGUAGAAUACGGGGACAAAAUGUAUCAAGCUAGAUCUUUUUUAGGGUGCCUUUUAUUUUGGACCUAAAACUUUGCAAUUUCCGAUAGUAAAAAUGAAAGUAUCAUAACUUCCUUAAAAUUCAAAAUUCAUUUGUUAGAUUUGGAUAAUUUCGUUUAUACUAGACGGGGACAAAAUGUGUAAAGUCAGAUUUAUAUUAGGAUAUCCUUAACCAUUCCUGUUCAAUCGAAAACUUUGGAUUUUUCUGAUAGUAAGUAUUACAGUGUUAUAACUUGCAUAAUAUUCAAAUUUUGUUCCUUAGAUUUUCCAAAUUUUGUUUGAGAAUGACAGGGACAAAAUGUGUAACACAGAUUUUUUAGUUGUUUUCUACCCUUUUAUUGAAUUUAAAACAUUACAGUUAGAUGGUGAAAAUUAAGAGCUUUAGUGGCAGAAAAUGGUCACCAGAUGGCGAUACAGUGUCUAAACUUUCACAUUACGAGUGUUUUAACUUGCACGCUUUUAAAAAUUCCUUCGUCAGAUUUUAAUAAUUUUGUUUGUGGAAGUCGGGGACAAACCGUAAAAAGUCAGAUCUUUUUUAGACUGCCUUUUACCCUUCCUUUUGGACCUAAAACAUUGCAAUUUGUGAUAGUAAAAAUGCAAGUAUUAUUUCUUGCUUAUAAUUCACACAUCAUUUUUCAGAUUUUAAUAAUUUUGUUUAUAUAAGACGAGAACAAAAUGUAUUAAGUCAGUUUUUUUAGGGUGUCCUUUACCCUUCCUGUUGAAUCUAAAACUUUGCUUUUUUCUGAAAGUAAGAUUUACAGGUGUUGUAACUUGUAUAUUACUCAAAAUUUAUUUGUCAGAUUUUGUAAAUUUUGUUUGUGGAAGACGUGGAAAGAAUGUAUAAAGUCACUUCUUCCUUAGGGUGCCUUUUACCCUUUCUUUUGGACCUAAAACCUUGCAAUUUCUGAUAGUAAAAAUGCAAGUAUUAUUACUUAUUCAUAAUUCACAAUUAAUUUAUGACUUUUUGAUAAUUUUGUUUAAACAAGUCGGGGACAAAGUGUGUAAAGUCAAACUUUUUUUAGGGUGUCCUUUACCCUCCUUUUGAAAGAAAAAUUUGGAAUUUCUGAUAGUAAGAAUUAGAGGUGUUAUAACUUGCAUUCAUCCAAACUUUAUGUGUUAGAUUUUUACAAUUUUGUUGCAAAUAUCAGGGACAAAAUGUCUAACUCAGUGUUUUUGUGAAGUUUUUUCCACCCUUUUGAAUUUAAAACAUUACAUUUAGAUUGUGAAAAUUGAAUUCUUUAGUGGCAGGAAAUGGUCACCAGAUGGCGGUGCAGUGUCCAUAUUUUCAUAAUACGGGUGUUUUAACUUGCACGCUUUUCAAAAUUCGUGUGUCCUUUACCCUCCCUGUUAAAUCUGUAACUUUUUUCUUAUAGUAAGAAUUACAGGUGUUUUAACUUGUAUGUUAUUUAACAUUCACUUGUCAGAUUUUGUAAAAUUUGUUUGUAGAAGACGUACUUAGACAAAAUGUAUAUUGUCAAAUCUAUUUAAGGGUGCCUUGCACCCUUCCUUUUGGAUUUAAAACUUUAUAACAUUUGAUAGUAAAAAUGCAAGUAUUAUACUUUUCAAAUUUCGUUAUCAAAUUUUGGUAGAAGAGGACAGGGACUCUCAACUCCCUUUUGAAUCUAAAACUUUUUAAUUUCAGGUGUUAUAAAUUGGGUAGCUUUAAAAACGCAUUUGUGAGAUAUUUUUUGUAGAAACGCAGACAAAAUGUGCAAUGAGAGUUUUGUAAUUUCUAAUAGUAAAAGUUACAGGUGUUAUAACUUGCAUAUUUUACAAAAUGCAAUUUUUUUAUUGUAAUAGUUUUGUUUAUACACAAGUCAAAUUUUUUGAAGCUAAUACGUUGCAAUUUCUAGUUGUAAAAAAUGCAGAAAUUUUAACAAGUGAUUAAUUAAUAUGUUUAUUUUAAAAUACGAUCUGUAGGCGGGAUAUGAUG